AUUGAACGCUGGCGGCAUGCCUUACACAUGCAAGUCGAACGGCAGCGGACCUUCGGGUGCCGGCGAGUGGCGAACGGGUGAGUAAUAUAUCGGAACGUACCUUUCAGUGGGGGAUAACGUAGCGAAAGUUACGCUAAUACCGCAUAUUCUGUGAGCAGGAAAGCAGGGGAGUCGCAAGACCUUGCGCUGAUUGAGCGGCCGAUAUCAGAUUAGCUAGUUGGUGAGGUAAAGGCUCACCAAGGCGACGAUCUGUAGCGGGUCUGAGAGGAUGAUCCGCCACACUGGAACUGAGACACGGUCCAGACUCCUACGGGAGGCAGCAGUGGGGAAUUUUGGACAAUGGGCGCAAGCCUGAUCCAGCCAUGCCGCGUGAGUGAAGAA
rnacentral:rRNA from 1 species